rnacentral:rRNA from 1 species
CCUACGGGAGGCAGCAGUGGGGAAUUUUGGACAAUGGGCGCAAGCCUGAUCCAGCAAUGCCGCGUGAGUGAAGAAGGCCUUCGGGUUGUAAAGCUCUUUUGUCAGGGAAGAAACGGCUGAGGUUAAUACCUUUGGCUAAUGACGGUACCUGAAGAAUAAGCACCGGCUAACUACGUGCCAGCAGCCGCGGUAAUACGUAGGGUGCAAGCGUUAAUCGGAAUUACUGGGCGUAAAGCGUGCGCAGGCGGUUUUGUAAGUCUGACGUGAAAUCCCCGGGCUCAACCUGGGAAUUGCGUUGGAGACUGCAAGGCUGGAGUCUGGCAGAGGGGGGUAGAAUUCCACGUGUAGCAGUGAAAUGCGUAGAGAUGUGGAGGAACACCGAUGGCGAAGGCAGCCCCCUGGGUCAAGACUGACGCUCAUGCACGAAAGCGUGGGGAGCAAACAGGAUUAGAUACCCUGGUAGUCCACGCCCUAAACGAUGUCUACUAGUUGUCGGGUCUUAAUUGACUUGGUAACGCAGCUACGCGUGAGUAGACCGCCGUGGGAGGUACGGUCGGUCGAGUUAAGUUAAACGUAACGAAGUUAGUAGUUGCGGNGNGAGACGCGACGACGACGACGACGGAGGAGGAG